GUUGACCUCGGAUCAGGUAGGGAUACCCGCUGAACUUAAGCAUAUCAAUAAGCGGAGGAAAAGAAACCAACAGGGAUUGCCUCAGUAACGGCGAGUGAAGCGGCAACAGCUCAAAUUUGAAAUCUGGCCCUCGCAGGGUCCGAGUUGUAAUUUGUAGAAGAUGCUUCGGGUUCGGCUCCGGUCUAAGUUCCUUGGAACAGGACGU
rnacentral:rRNA from 1 species